rnacentral:rRNA from 1 species
AUUGAACGCUGGCGGCAGGCCUAACACAUGCAAGUCGAGCGGCAGCGGGACCUUCGGGUCGCCGGCGAGCGGCGGACGGGUGAGUAAUGCCUAGGAAUCUGCCUGUUAGUGGGGGAUAACGCGGGGAAACUCGCGCUAAUACCGCAUACGUCCUGCGGGAGAAAGUGGGGGACCCUCGGGCCUCACGCUAACAGAUGAGCCUAGGUCGGAUUAGCUAGUUGGUGGGGUAAAGGCUCACCAAGGCGACGAUCCGUAACUGGUCUGAGAGGAUGAGCAGUCACACUGAAACUGAGACACGGUCCAGACUCCUACGGGAGGCAGCAGUGGGGAAUAUUGGACAAUGGGCGAAAGCCUGAUCCAGCCAUGCCGCGUGUGUGAAGAAGGUCUUCGGAUUGUAAAGCACUUUAAGUCGGGAGGAAGGGCUGCAGGUUAAUACCUUGCAGCCUUGACGUUACCGACAGAAUAAGCACCGGCUAACUUCGUGCCAGCCGCCGCAGUAAAAC